UCAACAGGUGUUUCGGAACAAUGGGCGUAAGCGCGUGUAGGCGGCUUGGUAAGUCGGGUGUGAAUCCCUUGGGCCCAACCCCGGAACUGCACUCGAAACUGCCUCGCUAGAGUCCCGGAGAGGAAGGCGGAAUUCCCGGUGGAGCGGUGAAAUGCGUAGAUAUCGGGAGGAACACCAUAGGCCAAGGCGGUUCUCUAAGCUAUUCCUGACACUGAGACACGAAAGCUAGGGGAGCAAACGGGAUUAGAUACCCCGGUAGUCCUAACCGUAAACGAUGGGCACUAAAUGUUUUCGCUUUAAGCGGGAGUGUCGAAGUUA
rnacentral:rRNA from 1 species